UAUCAUUUUGACUUGAGAAAAGAAAAUAAACCCCAAAAUUUCUCAUUUUCUCCAUGGAGGCCGAUCAUCAUCACCAUCACCAACGUUCAUCAUUUCUCCAUGGAAUUUGAAGAUUAUAGAGGCAAAAUGAUCAUAAGACAAUGAAGACCCAAGGUGUGUAUGAUGGAUUUGGAGCUAAGGUUAUGGAAUUUUGAUGAUGGUUCAUGAAGACUUUGAUUCGGUUACAAAGCCAAUACAUUAAGUGAAGGUACUUAGAGUGUGGACUUAGCUAGAAGCUAGUUUUGGAAUCCGAAAGUCAGCCACGUAUGUAUAUUUCUUUGACUUCUGUAGUGCUGCAGUAGUGGUCCCGCGUAGACAAAGUCGUAGCCUAAACAGCAGUACAUUUUGAUUGUACAUAUUAUUUGAUGUCUUGUUUAUAUUUUUGUAGGCUACGUGUAUUAUAUGUGGUUCAUGGCCCCAGAUGCCGGUGACAUGAUUUGAGACACUAACUGAUGUAUAUAAUACCGCGAGGCCAGUUCGUACGGGUACGGUAACUAGAGCCCGCGAGGUUAACA